GCAAGUCGAACGGUAACAGCAGAGCUUGCUCUGGCUGACGAGUGGCGGACGGGUGAGUAACGCGUAGGAAUCUGCCCAAGAGUGGGGGACAACCUGGUGAAAACCAGGCUAAUACCGCAUACGGUCUACGGACUAAAGAUGGCCUCUCCUUGGAAGCUAUCGCUUUUGGAUGAGCCUGCGUAAGAUUAGCUUGUUGGUAGGGUAACGGCCUACCAAGGCGACGAUGGUUAGCGGGUCUGAGAGGAUGAUC
rnacentral:rRNA from 1 species